GGGCCUGUAGCUCAGGGGUAGAGCGCUCGCUUUGCAUCUUCGUUCUUACGGAAUGCGAGAGGCCUAGGGUUCAAAUCCCUACCGGUCCA